UCGACCUUAGUUGCCAGCAUUCAGUUGGCACGCUAAGGUGACUGCCGGCUAAAAGUCGGAGGAAGGUGGGAUGACGUCAAAUCAUCAUGCCCUUAUGACCUGGGCUACACACGUGCUACAAUGGGCGGUACAAAGGGUCGCGAACCCGCGAGGGGGAGCCAAUCCCAAAAAGCCGCUCUCAGUUCGGAUUGCAGGCUGCGACUCGCCUGCAUGAAGCCGGAAUCGCUAGUAAUCGCGGAUCAGCAUGCCGCGGUCGAAUACGUUCCCGGGCCUU
rnacentral:rRNA from 1 species